UACGAAGGGGGCUAGCGUUGCUCGGAAUCACUGGGCGUAAAGGGUGCGUAGGCGGGUCUUUAAGUCAGGGGUGAAAUCCUGGAGCUCAACUCCAGAACUGCCCUUGAUACUGAGGAUCUUGAGUUCGGGGGAGGUGAGUGGAACUGCGAGUGUAGAGGUGAAAUUCGUAGAUAUUCGCAAGAACACCAGUGGCGAAGGCGGCUCACUGGCCCGAUACUGACGCUGAGGCACGAAAGCGUGGGGAGCAAACAGG
rnacentral:rRNA from 1 species